rnacentral:rRNA from 1 species
GACGAACGCUGGCGGCGUGCUUAACACAUGCAAGUCGAACGGAAAGGCCCUGCUUUUGUGGGGUGCUCGAGUGGCGAACGGGUGAGUAACACGUGAGUAACCUGCCCUUGACUUUGGGAUAACUUCAGGAAACUGGGGCUAAUACCGGAUAGGAGCUCCUGCUGCAUGAUGGGGGUUGGAAAGUUUCGGCGGUUGGGGAUGGACUCGCGGCUUGUCAGCUUGUUGGUGGGGUAGUGGCUUACCAAGGCUUUGACGGGUAGCCGGCCUGAGAGGGUGACCGGCCACAUUGGGACUGAGAUACGGCCCAGACUCCUACGGGAGGCAGCAGUGGGGAAUAUUGCACAAUGGGCGGAAGCCUGAUGCAGCAACGCCGCGUGCGGGAUGACGGCCUUCGGGUUGUAAACCGCUUUCGCCUGUGACGAAGCGUGAGUGACGGUAAUGGGUAAAGAAGCACCGGCUAACUACGUG